rnacentral:rRNA from 1 species
UAGGGAAUAUUGGAAAAUGGGGGCAACCCUGAUCCAGCCAUGCCGCGGGAGUGAAGAAGGCCCUGGGGUUGUAAAGCCCUUUUUUCCGGAAAGAAAAGCUUCGGGUUAAUACCCCGGGGUUCUGCGGGUCCCGGAAGAAUAAGCACCGGCUAAUUUCGUGCAAGCAGCCCCGGUAAUACGAAGGGUGCAAGCGUUACUCGGAAUUACUGGGCGUAAAGCGUCGGUAGGUGGUUGUUUAAGUCUGAUGUGAAAGCCCUGGGCUCAACCUGGGAAUGGCAUAGGAAACUGGGCAGCUAGAGGGCGGUAGAGGGUAGUAGAAUUCCCGGUGUAGCAGUGAAAUGCGUAGAGAUCGGGAGGAAAAUCUGUGGCGAAGGCGACUGCCUGGACCAGCACUGACACUGAGGCACGAAAGCGUGGGGAGCAAACA